UUCAGAGGAGGGAAGCCACAGCUUAAAUAGGAGUGGCCUCAGCUUUCCUUUACCUCAAGGGCCUGGCGCUUCAUAACAUAGCCACAGCCCAGAGAGAGAGAGAGAGAGAGAGAGUGCGCCGGAGAGCUUCUCUUUCAGGUUUAGGAACAAUGGGUGGUGGUGGAAGAAUGUCUGCACCCCCAACUCACAAGAAUGCAGAAACUGACAACAUCAAGCGAGUGCCACACCUGAAACCUCCGUUCACUCUCGGCCAAGUCAAGAAAGCCAUCCCACCUCACUGUUUCCAGCGCUCCGUCGUCCACUCUUUCUCCUAUGUCGUCUAUGACCUCGCAAUUGCCUCCAUCUUUUAUUACAUUGCUUCAAAUUACAUCAACCACCUCUCGACACCUCUCUCAUUCUUGGCAUGGCCAAUUUACUGGGCUCUUCAGGGCUGUGUCCUAACUGGUGUCUGGGUCAUUGCACACGAGUGUGGUCACCAUGCCUUUAGUGAUUAUCAAUGGCUCGAUGACACAGUUGGCCUAAUCCUGCACUCCUGUCUUCUUGUCCCCUACUUCUCUUGGAAGUAUAGCCAUCGCCGCCACCAUUCUAACACAGGUUCCCUUGAGCGAGAUGAAGUCUUUGUCCCAAAACAGAAGUCUGCUAUGGGAUGGUACUCCAAAUACCUUAACAACCCACCAGGCAGAGUCCUUGCUCUAACUAUCACACUCACUCUUGGCUGGCCUUUGUAUUUGGCAUUUAAUGUUUCUGGAAGGCCCUAUGACGGCUUUGCUUGCCACUACCAUCCAUAUGGCCCUAUCUACUCCGAUCGUGAACGUUUGCAGAUAUACAUUUCGGAUGCUGGUGUUCUUGCAGUCUGUUAUGGGCUUUACCGUCUUGCUGUUGCAAAAGGGCUUGCCUGGGUCUUGUGCUUCUAUGGAGGUCCCUUGUUGGUGGUGAAUGCGUUUUUGGUUUUAAUCACAUAUUUGCAGCACACCCACCCUUCAUUGCCACACUACGAUUCAUCCGAAUGGGACUGGUUGAGAGGAGCCUUGGCAACUGUUGACAGAGACUAUGGAAUCUUGAACAAGGUCUUCCAUAACAUCACAGACACUCAUGUCGCUCACCAUUUGUUCUCAACCAUGCCACAUUAUCACGCAAUGGAGGCCACAAAGGCAAUCAAGCCGAUAUUGGGCGAGUAUUAUCAGUUCGAUGGGACUCCAUUUUACAAAGCAAUGUGGAGGGAAGCAAAGGAGUGCAUCUAUGUUGAGCCAGAUGAAGUUGAUAAGAAAGGUGUCUUCUGGUACAAGAAUAAGCUGUGAUUCUGAUAAAAGUUGUCGAACAAGCUUGUUGGGAAGCUUUAGAUUCCAGUCAUCAGAACUCAGCUUCCCUGUCUUGAUAAUGAACUAAGAUUACAAGCUAUGGUCUGGCGUAUGUUCUUGUCAUGAAGGUUGUUUGUUUCUUAAGUAUAGAGCUUGCAAGAGGCCUAAUCCCAAAUGGAACUUGCUUGUCGAUCUAAAUUUGGAAUAUGUAUACAUGGUUGCUAGAAGCUAGCUUUCUUUGUUA